rnacentral:rRNA from 1 species
GAUGAACGCUAGCUACAGGCUUAACACAUGCAAGUCGCAGGGUAACAUGAGGAAAGCUUGCUUUCCUUGAUGACGACUGGCGCACGGGUGAGUAACGCGUAUCCAACCUUCCCAUAACUACGGGAUAACCCGUUGAAAGACGGCCUAAUACCGUAUGAUAUCGUUUGCUGACAUCAAAUAACGAUUAAAGGUUUAGCGGUUAUGGAUGGGGAUGCGUCUGAUUAGCUUGUUGGCGGGGUAACGGCCCACCAAGGCAACGAUCAGUAGGGGUUCUGAGAGGAAGGUCCCCCACAUUGGAACUGAGACACGGUCCAAACUCCUACGGGAGGCAGCAGUGAGGAAUAUUGGUCAAUGGGCGAGAGCCUGAACCAGCCAAGUAGCGUGCAGGAAGACGGCCCUAUGGGUUGUAAACUGCUUUUAUGUGGGGAUAAAGUGCGUGACGUGUCAUGCAUUGCAGGUACCACAUGAAUAAGGACCGGCUAAUUCCGUGCCAGCCGCCGCGGU